AUGCCGCGUGUGUGAAGAAGGCCUUCGGGUUGUAAAGCACUUUCAGUAAGGAGGAAAGGUUAAGUGUUAAUAGCACUUAGCUGUGACGUUACUUACAGAAGAAGCACCGGCUAACUCCGUGCCAGCAGCCGCGGUAAUACGGAGGGUGCGAGCGUUAAUCGGAAUUACUGGGCGUAAAGCGUACGCAGGCGGUUUGUUAAGCGAGAUGUGAAAGCCCCGGGCUCAACCUGGGAACUGCAUUUCGAACUGGCAAACUAGAGUGUGAUAGAGGGUGGUAGAAUUUCAGGUGUAGCGGUGAAAUGCGUAGAGAUCUGAAGGAAUACCGAUGGCGAAGGCAGCCACCUGGGUCAACACUGACGCUCAUGUACGAAAGCGUGGGGAGCAAACAGGAUUAGAUACCCUGGUAGUCCACGCCGUAAACGAUGUCUACUAGAAGCUCGACUCUUCGGAGUUGUUUUUCAAAGCUAACGCAUUAAGUAGACCGCCUGGGGAGUACGGCCGCAAGGUUAAAACUCAA
rnacentral:rRNA from 1 species